GUGGGGAAUCUUCCGCAAUGGACGAAAGUCUGACGGAGCAACGCCGCGUGAGUGAAGAAGGUUUUCGGAUCGUAAAGCUCUUUCGUUAGGGACGAACGUGCUCUUUGUGAAUAAUGAGGAGUAAUGACGGUACCUAAAUAAGAAGCCACGGCUAACUACGUGCCAGCAGCCGCGGUAAUACGUAGGUGGCAAGCGUUGUCCGGAAUUAUUGGGCGUAAAGCGCGCGCAGGCGGGAUAUCAAGUCUGUCUUAAAAGUGCGAGGCUCAACCUGGUGAAGGGACAGAAACUGGUAUUCUUGAGUGUCGGAGAGGAAAGUGGAAUUCCAAGUGUAGCGGUGAAAUGCGUAGAGAUUUGGAAGAACACCAGUGGCGAAGGCGACUUUCUGGACGAUGUCUGACGCUGAGGCGCGAAAGCUAGGGGAGCGAACGGGAUUAGAUACCCCGGUAGUCC
rnacentral:rRNA from 1 species